rnacentral:rRNA from 1 species
UUUGACCUCAAAUCAGGUAGGACUACCCGCUGAACUUAAGCAUAUCAAUAAGCGGAGGAAAAGAAACUAACAAGGAUUCCCCUAGUAACUGCGAGUGAAGCGGGAAAAGCUCAAAUUUGAAAUCUGGCAGUCUUUUUUUUCUUCUUUGGCU